rnacentral:rRNA from 1 species
CUACGGGGGGCUCCAGUGAGGAAUAUUGCACAAUGGGGGGAACCCUGAUGCAGCAACGCCGCGUGGAGGAUGACGCAUUUCGGUGUGUAAACUCCUUUUAUAUGUCAAGAAAAUGACGGUAGCAUAUGAAUAAGCACCGGCUAACUCCGUGCCAGCAGCCGCGGUAAGACGGAGGGUGCAAGCGUUACUCGGAAUCACUGGGCGUAAAGGACGCGUAGGCGGGUUGGAAAGUCAGGUGUGAAAUCCUACAGCUUAACUGUAGAACUGCACUUGAAACUUCUAAUCUAGAGUAUGGGAGGGGGAGGUGGAAUUAGUGGUGUAGGGGUAAAAUCCGUAGAUAUCACUAGGAAUACCUAAAGCGAAGGCGAUCUCCUGGAACAUUACUGACGCUAAGGCGUGAAAGCGUGGGGAGCAAACAGGAUUAGAUACCCUCGUAGUC